CCUACGGGAGGCAGCAGUGGGGGAUAUUGCACAAUGGGGGGAACCCUGAUGCAGCCACGCCGCGUGAGGGAAGACGGCCUUCGGGUUGUAAACCUCUGUCGCAGGGGACGAAGGAGAUGAGGUACCCUGUGAGGAAGCCACGGCCAACCACGUUCCAGCAGCCGCGGUAAUACGUAGGUGGCGAGCGUUGUCCGGAAUUACCGGGGGAAAAGGGAGCGUUGGCGGGAUAUAAAGUUGAAGGUAAAAACUACGGGCUUAACCGCUGGAAGCGUUCAAAACUGAUGUUCUUGAGUGAAGGAGAGGCAGGCGGAAUUCCUAGUGUAGCGGUGAAAUGCGUAGAUAUUAGGAGGAACACCAGUGGCGAAGGCGGCCUGCUGGGCUUUAACUGACGCUGAGGCUCGAAAGCGUGGGUAGCAAACAGGAUUAGAUACCCGGGUAGUC
rnacentral:rRNA from 1 species